rnacentral:rRNA from 1 species
GGGCCCGCGCAAGCGGCGGAGCAUGCGGAUUAAUUCGAUGCAACGCGAAGAACCUUACCAAGGCUUGACAUAUAGAGGAAAAGUGUAGAAAUACACUCCCCGCAAGGUCUCUAUACAGGUGGUGCAUGGUUGUCGUCAGCUCGUGUCGUGAGAUGUUGGGUUAAGUCCCGCAACGAGCGCAACCCUCGUCCUAUGUUGCCAGCACGUAAUGGUGGGAACUCAUGGGAUACUGCCGGGGUCAACUCGGAGGAAGGUGGGGAUGACGUCAAAUCAUCAUGCCCCUUAUGUCUUGGGCUUCACGCAUGCUACAAUGGCCGGUACAGAGGGCAGCAAUACCGUAAGGUGGAGCGAAUCCCACAAAGCCGGUCUCAGUUCGGAUUGAGGUCUGCAACUCGACCUCAUGAAGUUGGAGUCGCUAG